UAUCUUCUGUAAUUACACUUAAUACCUGAAUAUGGAAUAGAGAAGGCAAAACCACGAGUUUUGAAUGUGAGUGUUUGAAAUACUUUACCUAGAUCUUGAAAAAAAUCUGAGGUGAUUUAUGAUUUUCCAAUACAGAACUGGAAUGCCAGGGGCGACAGCGAUGUGAAUUUUCUUCUGUUCCUUCAACCUCUCCCUCAACCAAGGACUUGAAGAGCAAGGAUAUCUCAGUUUUAUAUCCUCCUGCAAAAUGAGACUGCUGGCGAGGAUUCUUAGGGAUAAACAAAAAAUGCCUGGAUGUAAACUUAUUACAUGGCUCCUGCAAGAUGAAAAAAAGACCCUUUUUGAGGAUGAAAGAACAGCUCAAAUUCUGCAGUCAACCUGUGCUUCUGCUGAAGUCACUGUAAGGGUGACAGCUGCAGUAAUGAAUUUCAGUAUGAAGAUUAUAUAAACAUCCUCCCAUUCCUCAAAGAUCUGACCAAGACUGUCAUGUAUUUCACACAGGCUUCUUUCAGACAUCAAGUAGCAACUUCUUUCGGUCAUUAGUGGCCUGG